rnacentral:rRNA from 1 species
GAUGAACGCUGGCGGCGUGCCUAAUACAUGCAAGUCGAGCGAACAGACGAGAGUGCUUGCACUCUCUGACGUUAGCGGCGGACGGGUGAGUCACACGUGGGUAACCUACCUAUAAGACUGGGAUAACUUCGGGAAACCGGAGCUAAUACCGGAUAAUAUUUAGCUUCGCAUGAAGCAAUAGUGAAAGACGGUUCUGCUGUCACUUAUAGAUGGACCCGCGGUGUAUUAGCUAGUUGGUGAGGUAACGGCUCACCAAGGCAACGAUACAUAGCCGACCUGAGAGGGUGAUCGGCCACACUGGGACUGAGACACGGCCCAGACUCCUACGGGAGGCAGCAGUAGGGAAUCUUCCGCAAUGGACGAAAGUCUGACAGAGCAAUGCCGCGUGAGUGAAGAAGGUUUUCGGAUCGUAAAACUCUGUUGUAAGGGAAGAACAAGUACGUUAGUAACUGAACGUACCUUGACGGUACCUUACCAGAAAGCCACGGCUAACUACGUG